rnacentral:rRNA from 1 species
UAAUGUCUGGGAAACUGCCUGAUGGAGGGGGAUAACUACUGGAAACGGUAGCUAAUACCGCAUAACGUCGCAAGACCAAAGUGGGGGACCUUCGGGCCUCAUGCCAUCAGAUGUGCCCAGAUGGGAUUAGCUAGUAGGUGGGGUAACGGCUCACCUAGGCGACGAUCCCUAGCUGGUCUGAGAGGAUGACCAGCCACACUGGAACUGAGACAUGGUCCAG